GCUGACAUGCCAUCCGGAAUGAGAAAGACCCAGAAACUUUGGGGCCACAUGAGCCACGGCCACUGCCUCAUCAGCAAGCACCAGAAGCACUCAGGAGGCAGUAGAAUGCUGGUGGCAUGCAACACCACAGGAUAAACUUUGAUAAAUAUCACUCUGGCUACUUUGGGAAAGUUGGUAUGAGGAUUACCACUUAGAGAGGAACCAGAGCUCCUGCUCAACUGCCAAUCACAAUAAAUUGUGGACUUUGGUCAGUGAGCAGACACAGGAGAAUGCUGCUAAAAACAAGACUGGGGCUCUCCACCAUUGAUGUGGUAGAUUACUACAAAGUUCUGGGAAAGGGAAAGCUCCCAAAGCAUCCUAUCAUUGUGAAGGCCAAAUUCUUCAGAAGAAGAGCACAGGAGAGGAUUAAAGGG
rnacentral:lncRNA from 1 species